UGGAAACAAGGUGCGUACACUCUUUAGCCAAUCAAUGACUUAAAUUAAGCAUUUAAGUGCAGAAACACAUGAAAAACCAGCAAACACAGCAGGCCUCCAGGAUUUCAGUUUCAGAUCCUCACCCACACGGAAUUACAGAGGGGCAUCCCUGUUUGGAAGGGGGACCCCAAAUUCCUUCAAUAAAACCCUCAGAAAAUGGAAUGUAGUAUUACCAGGACUCGACGAUAUGGAACUACACACAAGGAUGACUCGGAGGCUGAGGCCUGUAAUCCUCAUUUUUAUCUGGUGAACAGUGAGGUCACUGAACUUCACAGUUGUUGAAGUGGCUUUAACCUUCUUGGACAAGCUGCUUUUCAGAUUGUGGAUAACAACAUCUUCAGUUCCACGUAAAGUGUCAAUCUGGAAAGAAAAUCAGCGCAAGACCUUGGAAAUUCUGACCUGCUGAUCAGCAGAAUCCAAUCUCUUCUUAUCUGACCCCAAUCUCUGAACUUGACCUUUGAGAGAGAACUGGAUAUUCUCUGUAAUAUGGACAUCUGUGCCACGAAACGUCAAUUAUGAACAAAAGUUGUUACCACCCAAACUAUGAGAUUGUAUAUGGGAUAUAAUGCACUACAUGGCCAAAUGUUUGUGGACACCUGGCA